ensembl:snRNA U6 U6 spliceosomal RNA
GUACUCACUCGGCAGCACGUAUACUAAAAUUGGAAAGAUACAGGGAAGAUUAUCAUGGCUACUGCACACACAGGAUGACACGAAUUUGUGAAAUGUUCCAUAUUUUU